GUCAAUAACUGAAUAUUGUGUUCCUUGGAGCAGUACAUAAAUAUGAAGACUCAGAAGAUCUCCAAACUUCUUAGUAAGCGAUUUACAACACCGGUUUGGAUUAAGCACAAGGAACCGAGGGAAGUGAACAUGUUUGUUGAUCUACUACUUCUUGAGGUUUGUUCAGUUCCUUUUUCUAUUGCAUUAUGUCUACUUCUAAUGCUACUAUGGAUACAAAUUCAUAAUUGAGCAUGCAGUUCCAUGCCAGUUUAGGUAUUGGAGUCUACUUUCAGAAACAUGAGUUCUUUUAGGCUAUCUUCGCGGCGUGCGUGGGAGCGGCAAGUCCGACCGCGAGGGCUUCUACGCCUCCGCACUCUGGCUCCACGCGCGGCACCCACGCACGCUGGCCCUCAACGCUGCACCCUCGCCGACUUUGGCUACCUCAAGGACCUCCCCGAGCUGCUCCACCGAAUCGUGCAUGGCGGUGUGUCCACCAGGACCCCAGGCAAGAAGGCACGCCUAACCACCAGUGCAGCUGGGGCCGGGGCCGCGUCUGCUUUGGCAACCGUACGCGUCGCAGCCGCGCGGAACGGGCCACGCGCGUCGGCUCAACGGAGGAGCGUGCCGCGGCUAGCCUGGAGCGCGACUGGGGACUCGCGGCCGCGGCCGUGGUGGCGCGCCGGACUAGGAGAGCAGAGGCCGCUGCGAGGGCGGUCGAGAUGUACAGUAAGUCAGUAACGACCCCGCCUACUGGGACAGUUAAAUCAGUAACACCCAUACAUUCCUUAUCCUAUGCAAACGGGACAGUUCAAACUCCAGUAAGUUAAUGGGCGCCUUUUAUUUGAUCUAUUGAUUGUUGCAGAAUGGAUGCAUUAUUUCACUGUUUCCUUUCUAAAGCUUUCCAUCUCAUCUGUUAUCUGUCAUUUAUAUUUAUUACAUAGGAAAUUAUUUGUUUGAGUUAUGUUUAUGCCAUCUGUCUCCUCAAAGCAGAUAAGAUUUUCUUUUUGAUUGGGUUAUGUUGUGAGACAUCAGGUGCUGGUGGUACAGCGACAGAUAAAUCAAAUAAAAAUAAGCGGAAGGCUCCCCUCAAGAGAUCAAAAGGAAGCUUAGGUAGUCUGGAUGUUGUUGCAGUAAAAAAUAACAAGUCACCGGCAAAGCCUUCAACUUCUUCCUCCAAUGAAGGUUCUUCACAAAGUGAGAGUGGAAGCGGGAGUUCUGAAG